rnacentral:lncRNA from 1 species
AUCUCUUGUUCUUCUCUCUCCCUCACCUGUGCAGGUCUCCCUAAAAAGCAGACGGAGAGGUUGGUGUCCAUGAGGAGCAGAUGAGAAUAUGAGUCUCAGGGAGAGAGAGAGUCUGCAGAAAAGGCUCUUACCCCUGGUCUUUGACCACCCUCCAGGUGGUAUCACAGUGGCCUCUUUCAUCUGCCACAACAGACAGCUUGGUGGUGAAAAGGCACUGUGAAGGACCUGGAUAUGGUUGACCUCCCUGUGCUUCUUGAAGCGGUUUCCGUGGGUAGACUGGCUGCUCCCCUCCUCUGGAAAGGGUUUAUACGGUGCUCCAGAAAUUCACAAAGGAAGAAGAUGUCCACAUUUCAUAAGAUUUUAUCAUCUAAUUCUGUACCAGUGAAUACUACUCAAAAACAGGUGUCAAGUAGCAAGGGAGAUGAAUGCAAGUUAGAGUGCGGCAUAAGGAGAAUAUCUCUCUCACAGUUGUACUUAACAGUUUUGAAACCUUCAGCCCAUCAUUUCACAUCUCUGAACUAA